rnacentral:misc_RNA from 1 species
AACGCACCUUGCGCUCCUUGGUAUUCCUCGGAGCAUGCCUGUUUGAGUAUCAUGAAAUUAUCAGAGCAAAAUAUUUUGUUAAUUCAACUGCCUUUGCUUUGGACUUGGGGGCCUGCAGACUUCACGGUCUGCUCCUCUUAAACGCAUUAGCUGGAUUCUCGGUGAGCUCGGUUCCACUCGGCGUGAUAAGUAUCACUCGCCGAGGACACCCGUUAAAAAAGGUGGCCAGGCUCGCGGACGAACCGCUUCCAACGGUCUAUUGACUUGGACGAUGGAUUUACGAUCUGAUCUCAAAUCAGGUAGGACUACCCGCUGAACUUAA